rnacentral:lncRNA from 1 species
UUCAAUGUUUAAAAUAUUUGACUUUCAUCUUAUUUGACUUUGAAGCCAUGCAAAUCGAGUGUUUGUGAUUGGUUGAGAAUAUAAAAAGUUUUAUAUCGUUAGUAUAUAAAAAUUAUUCUUUUUAUAAAUUGUAUUUGUCGAAAUAUUGACAUUUGUCGAAAUAUUAAUCUAAUCAUUGAUGAAAUAUAGGAAAAGUCUCCAAUAUUUUGUUGAAUAUGGACAGAGACAACAAGAGGAGAUUCGGCGACGAGAGGAAGAGAUGAAAGCACUUCACCUUCAAUUUGCUGAAUAUGGACAUCAACAACAAGAGGAGCUUCGGCGACGAGGGGAAGAGAUCCAAGUACUUCACCUUCGAUUUGCUGAAUAUGGAGAAAAACAACAAGAGGAGCUUCGGCGACGAGAGGAAGAGAUCAAAGCACUUCACCUUCGAUUUGCUGAAUAUGGAGAUAAACAACAAGAGGCGCUUCUGCGACGAGAGGAAGAGAUCCAAGGACUUCACCUUCGAUUUGCUGAAUAUGGAGAUAAACAACAAGAGGCGCUUCUGCGACGAGAGGAAGAGAUCCAAGGACUUCACCUUCGAUUUGCUGAAUAUGGAGAUAAACAACAAGAGGCGCUUCUGCGACGAGAGGAAGAGAUCGAAGCGCUUCACCUUCGAUUUGCUGAAUAUGGACAUAUACAUCAAGAGGCGCUUCUGCGACGAGAGGAAGAGAUCGAAGCGCUUCACCUUCGAUUUGCUGAAUAUGGACAUAAACAUCAAGAGGCGCUUCUGCGACGAGAGGAAGAGAUCGAAGGACUUCACCUUCAAUUUGCUGAAUAUGGACAUAAACAAGAAGAGGAGCGUCGGCGACGAGAGGAAGAGAUCAAAGCAUUUCACCUUCAAUUUGCUGAAUAUGGACAUAAACAACAAGAGGCGCUUCUGCGACGAGAGGAAGAGAUCGAAGCGCUUCACCUUCGAUUUGCUGAAUAUGGACAUAAACAAGAAGAGGAGCGUCGGCGACGAGAGGAAGAGAUCAAAGCAUUUCACCUUCAAUUUGCUGAAUAUGGACAUAAACAACAAGAGGCGCUUCUGCGACGAGAGGAAGAGAUCGAAGGACUUCACCUUCGAUUUGCUGAAUAUGGACAUAAACAUCAAGAGGCGCUUCUGCGACGAGAGGAAGAGAUCCAAGGACUUCACCUUCGAUUUGCUGAAUAUGGACAUAAACAAGAAGAGGAGCGUCGGCGACGAGAGGAAGAGAUCAAAGCACUUCACCUUCAAUUUGCUGAAUAUGGACAUAAACAACAAGAGGCGCUUCUGCGACGAGAGGAAGAGAUCGAAGGACUUCACCUUCGAUUUGCUGAAUAUGGACAUAAACAUCAAGAGGCGCUUCUGCGACGAGAGGAAGAGAUCCAAGGACUUCACCUUCGAUUUGCUGAAUAUGGACAAAAACAAGAAGAGGAGCGUCGGCGACGAGAGGAAGAGAUCAAAGCACUUCACCUUCAAUUUGCUGAAUAUGGACAUAAACAACAAGAGGAGCAUCGGCGACGAGAGGAAGAGAUCCAAGGACUUCACCUUCAAUUUGCUGAAUAUGGACAUAAACAACAAGAGGAGCUUCGGCGACGAGAGGAAGAGAUCCAAGGACUUCAC